rnacentral:misc_RNA from 1 species
GCAGUACUAGUUUUAUUCUUUGAACAAAAUAAAAUGUAUAAAAAAAUUCAUGUUUUUGCUAAUAUAGUUGAUUUUAGAAUUGACAUUGGAGGUUUUCUUGAAGAGUUAAAGAUUAGUUAAAAUGACUUUCAAGGAUCAAAGAUGGUAUUGUAGAUAAUGCAUUAUUGAGGUGUUCUCAGUUUGUUGUUUACUUUUCAAAUUUCUUGAUGUCUAGUAAAAUUAAUGAGCUUGUCAUUCACUUAAACAGCUUAGUCUAUUGACGUGGAAUGUAUUAGUGAUAA